UCUUAUAUGCUUUGGGAGAGAUGUCGAAAGUAAACCGAAAAUAAAGAGCUUCUUGAUUUCGUCUGAAUUUGAUUUCUCUCUUUUUCCUCAAUUACCUCGUGAAUGAUUUGAUCCCAAUUUCAUCAACAAUUUCAAUUUGCGAUAGUAUUUCUUUUUUAUAUUCAAUCUCCAUAAAUCUUGAUUACGGAACCCUAGAACUCCGAUUUUAACUAUCGCCGAAAAAAUACAAUUGCGGAGUCCUAAAUGUGGAUUUAGGGUUUCAUGUAUCUGCUGCCAGUGGUUGCGUUGAUUUAGGGUUUCAUAUUUCUGCUGCCUUGACUUGCUUCGAGUUCGAUUCGUAUCGGAAAAUAAUUAUAAGUUUCUUGAUUGGACAAUCUGCAGUCCUCUCGAAUUUACCUAUGUCUCUCAUGUAUAUUUGAUUUCUACCUCUCUCCCUUUUUAUUUUUCAAUUCUUAAUCUUUUGGAUUUUUUUCUAAUUGAUUUUCCGCAAGUUAUGUCUUUCGUGAAGCAAACACAUUCUGUCUCCCAAAUCAUGUUUGACACAUGAAUGUUUUGGGGUAGUUUAAUCUUGAUUAUCCAAGAAUGUGAAAUAUCGGCUAAUCUUGAUUAUUAAGCCUAUGAAGGCUAAUUUGGACAGUAAAAAAAUAAAGUUACUCUAUGAAUUAUAAAGACAAGUUGGCUUGCGAUGUUCGGAUGAUCCUUAUGAAACGAUUUCUUUACGGUUACUUAUGCAAAUGUGGCUUGUAAUAUGAAUUCUUUAUUCAUAUGAAAUCGGUAUGGUAUAUGGCUAGAAAGUGUCUUUAUUCAUAUAAAAUAAGUAUGUAAAAUUGAUGGCUUAUAUGCAAUUUCAAUAUGAAUGUUUAUUCAUAACUUGAUACUUGAGAUACAAGUAAAGAUGACCCUUAAUGCAAUGACAGGACAAUGCCUAUUCUAUAGUGGUAAAUUGGGAUGAUGUUAGUGCGCCUUGAAGAUCUUAGAUGUGAAAUUGAAUAUUUGUUUGUUGAUGAUUUUGACUGUGAAAUUCAACAUUUGAGCCUCGAUUACUCUCUUAAGUGUGAAAAUUUGGUAUAUAAAUUUUCCUUAGAAUGAUGCUUGUUUGAAUGUUAAACAAGUGAUUUUGAAAGUAAAUUGUCCCUUUUGAUUUCGAGAAGGUCUACGAGAUGACAAACAAAAAUUUUCAAAAGAUUUUUUUGAAAACUAUAAUGAUGGAAAUCAGAAAGUUUGUUGGAAAUUUCUACCGUGGUUGAACAAGAUAUUUUUUCAAAUAUAAGCAUUCCUUUAAAUUUUGAGAAGCUUUGUGAGAUGGUAGACAUAAUUUCAGAUACCUUCUGAAAGAGAUUCCCAAAUGUUAGUUAAUGUGGAAUUCUUGAACUAUUAUUCUGCAUUUAUUAUUAAAGGUCUAGAUUUUGGUGUAUUGUGGACGGUGGAAAAUGUGAAAGAACAAGAGCUUAUUGAAAGUUUGAAUGAGUUUGAGGUGGGGAGUGGUUGCCGUAAUUUCUUAUGUUGAGGAGGCUGUGACGGCGAUUUAUGUUGGCUUGUCUGCAUACUUCACAAUUAACUAGCUUGUUUCUUGCUUAAUUUCUUUUGCAGCUGUUGAUGCAUUCAAAUUGAUGUCCUUGUUAAAUUUGAUGUUCUCUUUCAAAACAACAGAAUUUGGUGUAUAGAUUUGGAAGCUUGUUGUGAUUGGGGCAAUGUCAAAUUAUCAAAUUCAGCUGGGAAAUUGCAGGUAUUGGCAUUCUACAGAGGGUCUAUAACAUCUAUUGUGCUAAAGUUGUCAAAAGCACUUUCAUAUGGCAUAGCCUUCAAUUUAUACGCAACCUAUGAAAAAUAGUCAGAGAUCUUGCUCAUACUUUUUUCUCAUUUUAGUCAAUACAAUUGGAUAUGCUCUUUUUAGACGAUUCUUUCACAUUACUAGUUGCUGACUUGUUUUCUAGAUCUGCA